CGAAGUGUAGCUUAAACUAAAGCGACUGCUUUACACCCAGGAGAUUCUACCCAUAUGGACACUUCGA
rnacentral:tRNA from 2 species